UGGCGACCAUAGCGUUUUGGACCCACCUGACCUCCAUUCCGAAACUCAGAAGUGGAAACGAAAUAGCGCCGAUGGUUAGUGUGGGGUUUCCCCAUGUGAGAGGUUAGGACAUCGCCAGGCU
rnacentral:rRNA from 1 species